CCCUUAGAUGUUCUGGGCCGCACGCGCGCUACACUGAUGCAUUCAACGAGCCUAUCCUUGACCGACAGGUCCGGGUAAUCUUUGAAUCUGCAUCGUGACGGGGAUAGAUUAUUGCAAUUAUUAAUCUUCAACGAGGAAUGCCUAGUAGGCGCAAGUCAUCAGCUUGCGUCGAUUACGUCUCUGCCCUUUGUACACACCGCCCGUCGCUCCUACCGAUGGGGUGUGCUGGUGAAAUGUUCGGAUCGGCCGUUUGUCGCGGUUUCCGCGGCUCGUGGCUGAGAAGUUCAUUAAACCCUCCCACCUAGAGGAAGGAGAAGUCGUAACA
rnacentral:rRNA from 1 species